AGGAAAUGAACCAUAUGACUAUAACAGACAUAAUUUUAACAGAGAACUGUGGCAUAGAUUCAACGAGGUGCUGGAAACAUCCUCAGAGAUUUUCCUCCAUGUUGACCUGAUAGCAUCACACAGUUGCUGCAGAUUUGUCAGCCCCAUGAUGUGGAUCCACAUCCCAAAGGUUACUCCGGUACAUCUGUCCAAGUGGCUGAGACCAUUCCUGCCAUGGCGGUUUACCUAACUGACUUUUAAGCUGACAUGAGGAUGAAGGCGAGGAGCUGUUUGGGGUUGACCCAUGCCCACCAGUUGACUCGGUCCAAUUUUAGUGAGCCUAUUAGAAAUGUAACCUCAGUUUGCUGUUGUUAGCUGACAGGAGUGAUGUCUGGUGUGGUCCUCUGCUUCUGUAACACAUCUGCUUCAAGGUUCAAUGUUUUGUGCUUUCAGAGAUUGAGAGAAUGAACUAGGCAAACCGUAAAGAUGGUUGUGAAAUACUCAACCUGUCUGGCACCAACAACCAUGUCAAGUUUAAAGUCACUUAACUCAACUUUUUUCCCAAUUCUGAUGCUUGGUUUGAACUGAGUGUACCUAAUUAAAAGGCCAGUGAGUGUUUGAUUGCUGGCCAGCCAAAAUCAUAGCGCAAAGGAUUUUGCAUGAAAUUUCUGGGCAGACUUAUAAGUUGCUCUUUUAAAAUAUUUUUUCACUUUAGACAGAGUCCAACUCUUUUCUUUUUCUUUAUGUGAAGAUGUAGGUUAAUGGCUCAAAGCUUCCAGCUCGAUAUUUAACGCAAAGGAAUGAAAAUGACAUUAAUCUUCUCAUCUCAAAGCAAGCUGAACAGUAAUCCUUUGAAAAGAAGAAUAAUAAAAAAUGGUAGAAUUUGUGGCUUGUUUUCAUUGGUACCAGUAAUGUUUGGUACUGACCAGCUGUUUGUAUUUAGGUUUUACUUGUUCUUCUUGUGCUAUUUGCCUUUAUUUGAAAUGUUUUCUUGAUUUAUGUUUUGAUACACAUAAAGAUCAAGCUCUGUUAUUCUCACUUUGGCUCAUGGAUCAAAACAAUUUUUUAUACACACUUUGCCGAUGUUCUUAAUAGUUCUCUAUGAAAACUAACUUAAAUGACUAUUUUAUAGACUUCCAUGUGAAAUGAGAUGUUUGCUAAUUAUGUCCAGAUGACAAAAUACAGACAAAUACAUUUUAAAUGGACCGUUUUUGCAAACAUUUCCGUUGUUAGUGACCUUAUUCAUUCCAAAUUUUCAAUAAAUGUCUUCA